rnacentral:sRNA from 2 species
CUUCAGCUUGAUGAUUUUUACUUCAGCAGUCAGUAUUCUUACUCUUAUUAUAAUAUCAGUCUGCUUCUUUCUCUUUCUCUUCAGCUCAGUGAUUCUUACUUCAGUAGUCAAUAUUCUUACUCUUACUAUAAUAUUAAUUUAUUUCUUUCUCUUUAUUUUCAAUUUGAUGAUUUUUAUUUCAGCAGUUAGUGCUCUUACUUUUACUGCAAUAUUAAUUCACUUCUUUCUCUUUCUCUUCAGCUCAGUGAUUCUUACUUCAACAGUCAGUACUUUUACUCUUACUAUAAUAUCAGUCUAUUUCUUUCUCUUUCUCUUCAACUCAGUGAUUCUUACUUCAGCAGUUAGUGUUUUUACUCUUACUGUGAUAUUAAUCUACUUUUUUCUCUUUCUCUUCAACUCAGUGAUUUUUGUUUCAGCAGUCAGUACUCUUACUUUUACUGUGAUAUUGAUCUACUUCUUUCUUUUUCUCUUCAACUCAAUAAUUCUUACUUCAGCAGUC